AGCAGCCGCGGUAAUUCGGAGGGUGCGAGCGUUGUCCGGAAUCACUGGGCGUAAAGGGCGCGUAGGCGGCGCGGAGAGUCAACGGUGAAAGCUCGGGGCUCAACCCCGAGUCGGCCGUCGAUACUUCCGUGCUGGAGCACUGUAGAGGCAGGUGGAAUUCCGGGUGUAGCGGUGGAAUGCGUAGAGAUCCGGAAGAACACCGGUGGCGAAGGCGGCCUGCUGGGCAGUAGCUGACGCUGAUGCGCGACAGCGUGGGGAGCAAACAGGAUUAGAUACCCUGGCAGUCCACGCCGUAAGCGAUGGGCACUAGGUGCUUGGGGGAGCGACCCUCUGAGUGCCGGCGCUAACGCAUUAAGUGCCCCGCCUGGGGAGUACGGCCGCAAGGCUGAAACUCAAAGGAAUUGACGG
rnacentral:rRNA from 1 species